CCUGGUUGAUCCUGCCAGUGGUCAUAUGCUUGUCUCAAAGAUUAAGCCAUGCAUGUUUAAGCAGAAGCCGCACAACGGUAAAGCCGCGAAUGGCUCAUUACAACAGCCGUCGUUUCUUGGAUCUCUAAUUUUACUUGGAUAACUGUGGUAAUUCUAGAGCUAAUACACGCACUAAAGCUCUGACCUUACGGAACGAGCGCAUUUAUUAGAACAAAACCAAUCGGGUUUCGGCCCGUUCGUUGGUGACUCUGAAUAACUCUGCCGAUCGCACGGUCUCGCACCGGCGACGUAUCUUUCAAGUGUCUGCCUUAUCAACUUUCGAUGGUAGUUUAUGUGCCUACCAUGGUUGUAACGGGUAACGGAGAAUAAGGGUUCGACUCCGGAGAGGGAGCCUGAGAAACGGCUACCACAUCCAAGGAAGGCAGCAGGCGCGCAAAUUACCCACUCUCGGCACGAGGAGGUAGUGACGAAAAUAACGAGACGGAUCUCUUUGAGGCCCGUUAUCGGAAUGAGAACAAUUCAAAUCCUUUAACGAGGAUCUAGCGGAGGGCAAGUCUGGUGCCAGCAGCCGCGGUAAUUCCAGCUCCGCAGGUGUAUAUCUAUGCUGCUGCGGUUAAAAAGCUCGUAGAUGGAUCUGCGUGCUCGGAACUGGUUGGCUCACUGAGUUCAAACUGGUCUCCGGCGCUUUAUUGGCUGGUUUUCCCUUGAUGCUCUUAACCGGGUGUCUUGGGUGGCUAGCACGUUUACUUUGAAAAAAUUAGAGUGCUCAAUACAGGCGUAAAGCCUUGAAUAGUGGUGCAUGGAAUAAUAGAAUAGGACCUCGGCUCUAUUUUGUUGGUUUUCGGAACGCGAGGUAAUGAUAAGAGGGACAGACGGGGGCAUUCGUAUUGCGACGUUAGAGGUGAAAUUCUUGGAUCGUCGCAAGACGGACGACUGCGAAAGCAUUUGCCAAGAAUGUUUUCAUUAAUCAAGAACGAAAGUUAGAGGUUCGAAGGCGAUCAGAUACCGCCCUAGUUCUAACCGUAAACGAUGCCAACUAGCGAUUCGCAGGCGUUAAACAACGACCUUGCGGGCAGCUUCCCGGAAACGAAAGUGUUCGGGUUCCGGGGGAAGUAUGGUUGCAAAGCUGAAACUUAAAGGAAUUGACGGAAGGGCACCACCAGGAGUGGAUCCUGCGGCUUAAUUUGACACAACACGGGAAAACUCACCCGGCCCGGACACCGUAAGGAUUGACAGAUUGAGAGCUCUUUCUUGAUUCGGUGGGUGGUGGUGCAUGGCCGUUCUUAGUUGGUGGAGCGAUUUGUCUGGUUUAUUCCGAUAAC
rnacentral:rRNA from 1 species